CUCGUAGGCGGUUCGUCGCGUCUGGUGUGAAAGUCCAUCGCCCAACGGUGGAUCUGCGCCGGGUACGGGCGGGCUGGAGUGCGGUAGGGGAGACUGGAAUUCCCGGUGUAACGGUGGAAUGUGUAGAUAUCGGGAAGAACACCAAUGGCGAAGGCAGGUCUCUGGGCCGUUACUGACGCUGAGGAGCGAAAGCGUGGGGAGCGAACA
rnacentral:rRNA from 1 species